AACAGAAAAUGAGAAGAAAAAAUGAGAGGGAAAAAAGAUAUGUAGCACAUGGAGAAGUGAAAGACGUUUCCAUAUUCUUCACUCUUUAGGGUAGUUUGAAUGGAUGUACAUUAUGGGUUUGUCUCUGGUAUAAAAGAUAUUGGCAUUUGAAUUCUGAUAGUGAUUUAAUGUUUUCAACCUCUUGCAGGUGGAAUGAAGGUAUGGAGGUGCAGCUGAUGGGGUGCCCAGCUGCGCUCAGGCAUUCCUUGCUCAGCAGCCACCUUUGUGCACUCAGCAACUGCCCCUGCUGCUAUAGCACAGGGCAGCCAGAAGAAAAAAUUCCCGUUGUAAAACCCAGUCUGAGAGAUGGCUGAGGUGCAGGGGGAAGUACAACCUGCCUGUUAGGUCGUCUGUAACCAGGGUUGCUGCUUAGCAUCUUCAGCUGUUCCUGCUGAAUCAAAACCAAAGUCUUUAGGCUCAAUCCUAUUUAUUUGAGCACCUCAGGAGUAUGGCAGAUGAAACGACGAAAUUUCUGAUCCUUUGCACCAGCGAUGUUCUUUUGUCUCCCACUAAUCACCUGCUGUCUUUCUUCUGCAUUUCUUAGGUAGGAAUUUGCUUAAAAAUUCUGGUGAUGUCUCCAUGUUCGUGUCUGCACACACAGGACCUUGUUUGUGAGCUUCUCGCUUCCCUGCUUGUGCAGUUCCCCAAACCGCUUAUUUAUUUGAGUGAUUGCAGCUUACAGUUUCAAUAAGUCCAAUGGCAUAUAUACAACAAAAAUACUACAAAUGUGUGUGUAUCUCUUUGCCUGGGAUUGCCUUUCCUCCAGAAACUAGUCCACAUGCUGUGGGGAUGAUUUUCAAAAGAACAAUGGAAUGACAUUUUACCUGACUUUGGAAAUUAAUUCAGUGCUGGUUUAGCAGUCUCACGCCUUUUGUGCCUUUGAUUUGCUUUCCAUAAUAUGGAACGGAUGAGAUGAAACUGGCAGCUGGAUGGAUUUUAAAUGUGGGCCAGCAGGGGAACCUGAACACAUUUCUGAGGCUGUAACUGCUCUCCCAAAGGGACUCGGCUGUACCAAGAGAUUGUAUAGACAGAUUCUCUUGCUGGGUAAUGCUCUGAGAGCAAGACUGGGAUUAUUAUCAAUCUGCACAGCUGAAACUGGUAUGUGACUUGAGGGCUGCAGGUCUAAUAUUAAACUAUAGACUGGUAUGAGCUCGGUAUAGCUGGUGAGUCCAAUAUUAGUUGUAAGGCCAGUUUCUCUAAUUUUCCAGCUCUUUCAUGUCUCACAUGUUCUUCAAGGUGGCUGAAAAGAAGUUAAAGGGUUUAAUAAGAUUUCUCUCAAGAGCAUGAAUGUUCUGAAACUUCACACCAGGAGAUGGUAAAGAACACAUCAAGGUAUACAGAAAGUACAGCUAGUUUCGCCACACCUAAUAUACCAUUACCUAUGGGAUCAAGGCUGCUCUAACCUAUGUCAGGGUCAAGGAUGAUCAAAGUCCUGCAAAAGCAAGAACAAAAUGAGAACUGCAAAAGCAUAAUAACACAUCUAGAGUGCGUGUUCCUCUGCUGCUUUAAGCAGAAAACAGCAGUCUAACAUUCGUGUCCAUUACAUGUAGUUGAUGUCUAUUACAUAAUAGCAUAUAUUGAUUUCCACCACCUUUGUGGUGCAGCCACCUUUGGAGUGAUACAAUACUCGGUACCACUACUAAAAAAAAGUUAGGGAGUGAUAAUACAACUUCCAGCCCAAGAACUGGAGAAAACCUACAUAAGCAGACUACAAAGAAAGAGUACUCCAUCUGUACUAAAUUUCAGUACUUUGUGAUGAAAAAAACUCAGAAAGACCUUGGUUUCAAAGCCUUUGCUGUGUCUCUUUUGCUCAUCGUCAAUGUUAGCUCUGUCUGGGUGAUGCAUUUUCACUGCAGUCAUCUGCUGAGGUUAUGUGCUUUCCACCUCAAGACAAACUGCAGCCAUAUGAAGCUACCAAAAGUCUCAAACAGAUUCAAGAAUGUUUUCCUCAAGAUUAAGGACAAUACUGUUGUAAAUAUUCCCAUAUUAACUUCUUUGAACCUUCCUGAAGCCAAGUGAUUUUCCUGCAUGGGUAGCAGAAUUAGCAUGUUCUUUCUACCAGUGCAAGAAUGACAAUACUUUUAACUUACACUUACUACUCUGUAUUUAAAACUAAGUUAGAUUUAUUAACUGGAUAUCUCUACCUAAAUGUAUAUAAAGCCAAUUACAUUAUAUUAUAUAAGAUAUGGAAACAAUUUAUUUGUCUCCAUUGGUUAAUAUCUAAGUGUAUGAAUUCAACAGUGCUCACAUUGUGAGUAGGAAUUGCUGAAAUGAGCUCUACAUACGCUCCUGUUAAGCCAGGGCUAGUUAGAUCUUUCUCAGCAAUACUGUCUAGAACAAUAUAUGCAUUGGUUUUUUUUGCUAAGAUGGGUGCUGACAAAUCCAAUAAGAACAAUGGAAAAAGAAAUAUUUCAGCUAGCAAGAUGCAAUGGGUUACUCUCAUUUAUGCUGGCUAAAGAGCUUGCCACGAAGACAAACAAAAAAUCUUGUUAUGGAAAAGCUUAAAGGAAAAAUCAGGCUGCUACCUCUUAUACAUCUUCUUUGCAGCUUACAGUAGCUGCGGACACAUCAGGUCUGUGGUAACCUACAUCUGAAAGCUAUGGAUACAUCUCAUGGUGGCCCAGGAGCAAUGCAAACUACAGUGUUUUCUAGAGCAGGUUAAGGAAGCCCUAACAGAAUUUGUUGCUUUCAAGCUCUCAAAUCACUAUGGUGUAACUGGAGCUCUGGUCAACAUCACUGCUGGUUUUCCAACUGAUGCUUCUGAAAGUCUCUUUAAAGUGCAGUUCACCACCACAGAAGUGUUUGGAGCAGCUCAGCCUGCUCCUGGCUUUAGGGCCCAUCUUUAAUUUACAUCAGCAACUGUAAAGCUGCCCAUUGACACCACUGAUUUACAGCUCUAUUUGUAAGAGCAGCAGUCACACAGGAACAGGUCUUGGCCCCUUUUCUCAGAAGGGUACACUCAUCUCUAAGCUGUCUGGAAGCUCUGGAUUUAUGUAGUGGCAAUACUCCUAAGGGCUACCUAAAGGACACGGGGUCUCUUUGACUCGGUAUACCCUUCAGCUUCCAUUAUGUCAAGUGGAGUUUUUCCUCACUUUCUAUUCUCUUUAUUGGACCAAAUUUGUUUGUAGUCACAUUUGCUUUUUAUCCCAUGCUGUCUGUCACUUGUGUUGAAUAUGGGUUUUGCACACAUGCCAAAUAGUUUGUUACUUGGCGAGAGUUCACUGGCAAGAGAAUUUGCUUCUACGCAUAGUAAUAGGCAUGUUUGGCUAAUAGGCUCUUUGUCUGAAAGCCUUUUGCAUAUUCAGAGCUGCUCAUUUGUCAUGCUAGCCUGACCUAGGCAGCAAAUAUUAAAAAAAAAAAGAGUCGUAAAUAUGCUCUGUUCUUACUAGAAUGCCAACUGAAGCAAGCAUCAGCUGCUUCAUGAUAAACUAGUCAUCUGCUGCUCUUUAACUUCACAAGUGUUGUCCAGCUACACUUAUUUCUAGAACAGUUCUCCUGUCCAUCACUGAUUUUCUUUGCUUUAUGGGUUUUUUUUUUUUUUUUUACAUUCUCUUAGAGUACAUUUAAUAUUGAAAUGGACAAGUCGGAUGAUGUAGUGGUUUUGGGAUGGCACAUUUGAUAACCUGGUAUAUGCAAAGCUGACAGCUUAGGUUCUGUUCUUACAAUUAAAAGAAGGAUUUGUUUUCCUGUUUGCUGGGUAUGUGUGCCAAGACCGUCGAGUGGGAGUACUACACUGACCUUCUGCGCUCCGUGCCGGUGGCAGGUAAUAGCUGCAUUAUCAGGCACGCCUUUCUAAUUUGUGCAACAAAGUUGUGAUGAAGAGAAUAGUAAUUUCAACUGGUAAUUUGUGUUGAUUGACUUGAAAAGCCAGGAAUUUCCUUGGGCAUAUGGAGAUGGCAAAUGUCCUUAGUGUUGGGACUGCAUAGUCGUUGGUAUGAAGAUGGAUUCAUACAUUUUUUUGGAACGGGCUUUUUUUUUUCCAUGUUUAUAGACUUUCUUUUUGUCUUGUAACUCCUUUCUUACUGUCAGUAUGUACUAAAUUGUCUAAAAGUUGAGACUCACUUUUUAUUUUGAGAUACUUAGACAUAUUCUUUUGUUCUGCCUAGAACUAGCGGGUUUGGAUGUAUAACAAGCCAAUUUAUUGGCAGAGUAGGAAUCAAUGGCAGACAUACCCAGGACUUUUCCUAUUUUAAUUAGACUAUACAGACUACUGUUGUCAAAACAGCAUGUUGUAGAAACACUCAAACCCCCCUAAUUUAAAGGGAUUAAGUCAGAGAUCAAAUUUUUCCAUUGUUUGUUGUGAAUCCUCUAAAAACAGAAACCCUAAAGCUAACAGUGCAGCACAGCUGACUAAUUCUCACAAACAAUAUCUGCAAAAGUGUAUGCUACAGCACCAUCUAGUGCCUCUUAUCCCACCAGUAUAGUAAAUUAAUUUAAUUUUCCACUUAAUUCAAAUAUGUAGGUGGAGAAGAUGGAGUGCCUUGGUUCCUUCUACAUUCUGACAACUUAUAUUCUCUUACGUAUUGCCAAGAUAGGAGGGAGCUGAGGGAUGUAAAUGAGCUUUGGGAUUUUACAUGGUAAAGAUUGUUGUCAGUAUAGCUGCUGUUACCAUAACUUUUUUACCAUAACUUUUACCAGCCAUAUAGUUUUUCCUCCUGAGGAUAGUAAGGAAGUAGACACAGGAGUGCAUCUGCUGAGAGAAUGGAAGGAAAAGUACUGCAGUGGAAUAGCAAACUGAUCAAAUGAUGUAUUUUGAGGGGGUAAAGAUGUAUUUUUGGAAGAGCAUAUAUUCUGUUCCAUGCGUAUGAAUAACUGACAAGGGGUAUGUUGGUGUUUGCAGACACCUUUUGUUGAGAACUACACUCAUAAUCAAUGUACCUCUCUCAAGUGACCAGCGCUCAAGCCUUGGUUUUCUUCAUCCUGAGCAUGACCCUCAGCAAUGCCAAAUUAAAUUCUAAUCAUUGCUACAUUUCCAUAUCCUUUACAUUGCUGUAAUUUUCUGUGUUCUUUAUUCUAGAAAAGUAAUUAAUGACCUCUGACUUCAAACUACUAAGAGGUUAACCAACAGCAACAUUGCAAUUAGUCACUAUUCCUAGCCAUCAACUGCAAGAUACAAAAGGGAAAAUAUUAAUUUGGGCAUUAAAUCCCACAAGACCUGGUAGCAUGGUACUUAAAUUUCAUUUCUAAGUCAACGUUCUUACAAACAGCACUCCUAAAAUGAAAAAUUCAUCACAGCUGGUGGUGUGUGUCUUUGAUAACAGCUGCUAAAAAGGAAAAAGCCCUUCAUCACAUUGAAUGGCUCACACUUCCUCUAAAUUACAGUAAUUUGGGCUGCUCACAGACAGAUUGGCACUGAUGGCAUUAACUAACAAACUCUGAAAUGUACGUUUACUUGACCUCAUCAAAUUUAAUAAAAUAACUUUUACAC